GCUCCCUGCACUAUAUAUACAGAGCUCCAUUAUACAGAGCUCCCUGCACUGUAAUACAGAGCUCCAACAUACAGAGCUCCCUACACUAUACAUACAGAGCUCCCUGCACUAUAUAUACAGAGCUCCAUUAUACAGAGCUCCCUGCACUGUAAUACAGAGCUCCAACAUACAGAGCUCCCUACACUAUACAUACAGAGCUCCAUCAAACAGAGCUCCCUGCACUAUACAUACAGAGCUCCAUCAUACAGAGCUCCCUGCACUAUACAGAGCUCCAACAUACAGAGCUCCCUGCACUAUACAUACAGAGCUCCACCACACAGAGCUCCCUGCACUAUACAUACAGAGCUCCCUGCACUAUACAUACAGAGCUCCUUCAAAUAUACAUACAGAGCUCCAUCAUACAGAGCUCCCUGCACUAUACAUACAGAGCUCCAUCAUACAGAGCUCCUUCAACUAUACAUACAGAGCUCCAUCAUACAGUGCACCCUGCACUAUACAUACAGAGCUCCAUCAUACAGGGCUCCCUGCACUAUACAUACAGAGCUCCAUUAUACAAAGCCCCCUGCACUAUACAUACAGAGCUCCAUCAUACAGAGCUCCCUACACUAUACAUACAGAGCUCCACCAUACAGAGCUCCCUGCACUAUACAUACAGAGCUCCUUCAACUAUACAUACAGAGCUCCAUCAUACAGAGCUCCCUGCACUAUACAUACAGAGCUCCACCAUACAGAGCUCCCUGAACUAUACACACAGAGCUCCUUCAACUAUACAUACAGAGCUCCAUCAUACAGAGCUCCCUGCACUAUACAUACAGAGCUCCAUCAUACAGAGCUCCUUCAACUAUACAUACAGUGCUCCAUCAUACAGAGCUCCCUGCACUAUACAUA